AGAUGGCGGGGCGUGGUCUGCGUGACUCCAUGAGAUCCAUGGACAUCGGCUCUUCGUACGGCGUGGGGAUGCGCAAUGGCUCGGUGACAGAAAGCAUGUGUUGCAGGCCAGCGGGCAGAGGAGGGAACCCUCGGCCACGGUCAUAGUCGGUGUGGUAUGGCUCCUUAUCGACAUCACAAUCCCCUACGUCUGUUCUACUUCCCUUCAGCUUAAGAAUCACAAGAAGGUGAUCUGGAGGAGGGAGGUGAUCAUUACUUGAACAUUGGCAGUACCACACCCACCGUCUCCUCUCUCUAUCCCUUAAACAAUUUUUUUGGGUUUAAAACUGCAUCUGUCCAAUGGUGGUGAAACUUAAGUAACUUGUGAUAAGAAGAAGAAAGAUAUUACUAACCACAUCAUGCUUCUGUCCAAUUCGUGAUUGUGCUAUAGCCAUUGGUGCUUGCUGAAAUUCAGGUCCUCCUGUAAUAUGCCAUUGGUGUUUGCUAGGUGAUUGUUUCCAUUUUUAUCUGGCCUCUCAGUUUGUUUUUUGUCAGUCCAAUAGGAUCAGUACGCGAUAGAGCAAGCAAUUUAGGUAGGGAAAACCUCUGUAAUAUAUUAAUCAAGCAAUGCAACAGUACGGAAAAUGUUUCAAUGUUGGCUUUCUUUUAUUUUUCCAAUUUAUUUAACAGAAACCUGGUCCCUGUCUUAUUUUGCAAUGCAGCUGUUUCAGAUGCUCCAGGUUUUAGAGCAUCACUGGUUAUGCCUAUAUGGAGGUUUACCAUUCAUCAUCUUGUGCAUGCCAAUGGUGGCGUGUUUUCUUGUGCUCGUUUGUUGAAUUGCGUAAGCUAGGCAAGUUGUGUCAAGAUCUAAAUAUUUCUAAAAACAUACCAGUUGUGCCUCCUGCUGAUGUUCUUCAUCCAUCUGUUGUUUUUAGAAAGAAGAGAAGCGGAAGAUCCGAUGAAAGAGUUUGUUGAUGAUCAUGCCAAUCAGGUCUAACUUCUUGAAUGAUUUGCAUUCAUUGGAUCCAGAGUUAUAUUGGCAUAUUCUAUUCUUCAAGCAUUAUCAUCACGACCUCUUGGCGAUUUGAGGUGUGCACUUGAGCUAUUGGAAGAUAAUUCCAUCAAUGAAUUCAUACCUUUUUGGACAUAAUAAGUUCAGGUAAUAGCUCUUUAGUCUAAGAGAUCAGCAACAUUUCAUCACUCAUCUCGGUAUUUCUCAGCCUUAGUUGUUCAUGCUAUCGGGAGCUGCCAGCAUGCCAAACACUUACGCUGAGUUAAAGUUGCAAUACCUGCAGGACUACAUCGCGGUGACCCUCAAUUCUAGAAGGAGCGGGUCAAACGUACAGGUCUACUUCAUGCGGUCGUUGCUUGACAUGAUC